GUCACUUUGCCGGAGUGGUUAACGGGAUCGCCUGCUAUACACGUUCAAGCGCCUGCUGUACAUGUUUCAAAGCGGUUGCACUUUGUGCGCGAGUGUUCGAAUCGCUCAGGUGACG